AAACUUAGACAAUCUGCGCAAGCCUGAUCCAGCCAUGCCGCGUGAGCGACGAAGGCCUUCGGGUUGGAAAGCUCUCUCGGACUGAAAGAAAUCUCGUUCCCUAAUACCCUGCGCGGCUCACGUUAUCUUCAUAACAGGUCCCGGCUAUCUACGACUCAGCAGCCGCGGUAAUACGUAGGGUGCGAGCGUUAAUCGGAAUUACUGGGCGUAAAGCGUGCGCAGGCGAUUGAUUAAGACAAGCGUGGAAUCCCCGGGCUUAAUCUGGGAACUGCGCUUGUGACUGGUCAGCUAGAGUACGGCAAGGGGGGGUGGAAUUCCACGUGUAGCAGUGAGAUGCGUAGAGAUGUGGAGGAACACCGAUGGCGAAGGCAGCCCCCUGGGCCGAUACUGACGCUCAUGCACGAAAGCGUGAGUAGCAACCAGG
rnacentral:rRNA from 1 species